rnacentral:rRNA from 1 species
GAAGAGAGAGUUAAAGAGCACGUGAAACCGAUAAGGAGGAAACGGAUAGAGCUGACGUAUCUAGCUUGCAUUCAGCUGUGCCAUGUGGUGGUGUCGUCGGGUCACUCCCGUUUUCGGGAUGCGCCGUGGCGGUCUCCGUCUCCUGGUGCGGUGCUUUUGCAAGUGAAGCGCGCCGGGCGGUAUUUCGUAGCGGUAGUAAGCCGGCUUUGAGGGCCCGCCUUCGGGUCGGGUGUCCCAGGUCGGUGGAUGACUGUUUGCGGGAUGCCAACUCUUGCGUGGUGUUCGAGUCGUGCGGCGCUCGUCUCGGUCUUGGGUUCGGUCCGCAUGCGGGCUCUCUCUUGGUCGUCUCGAUCGUCGUUUGUGCUCCCUCGCUCGCGGACUCGGUGUAACAGUCGGUCAUCUAUCCGACCCGUCUUGAAACACGGACCAAGGAGUUUAUCAAGUUCGCGAGUCAUUGAGUCUUUUAAACUCAAAGGCGUAAUGAAAGUAAAGGCGCCCUCGACGGGCUGAUAUGCGAUCGUUGGCGUUUCGGCGUCGACGCGUAGCAUAGCCCCAUUCUGAUUGCUUGCAAUAGGGUGGAGGUAGAGCGUACUUGAUGAGACCCGAAAGAUGGUGAACUAUGCCUGAGCAGGAUGAAGCCAGAGGAAACUCUGGUGGAAGUCCGAAGCGGUUCUGACGUGCAAAUCGAUCGUCUGACUUGGUAUAGGGGCGAAAGACUAAUCGAACUAUC